GAGGCUGCUUCUCUCUGCAAACACUCUUUAAUCUUCUAAAAGUAUAGAAAAAGCCCCCAGCAUCAUAAAGAGAAUGUCUACAAAUUCUGUUCUUCAGGGUGGGAAAGCAUCAAAGACAAUGCAGCAAAAUUUAUCCAAUCUGUUUGAAGUCUGAAGUGACAGACUCCAGCCAGAGACAGAUCUCCUGCCUAAUGCCUUCCUUCUGGGACUCGUGUUACUGUGGUGAGCACCCACAGUGCACUCCUAAGACCUGUGAACAUCCUGCAAGCAAAUCAGGAGGAAUGCUCCCUUGUGGUCGCAUUACCCGCCCAUGAAGACAUCAGAACAAAUGCUCAAUAAAGAUAUGAGAGGGUUGAAUUCUGCUGCUGCCUAAGUGUGCUUGAAGAUGGUAGCCUGAAAGCAGAAUUCUCACGAGUGUUUCUUAUCCACACGUCACCCAGAGGUCCCGGGGUUACCAUUUCACGAGGAUAAAAGAUUCCCCCAGCUAAGAUACACAACAAUACAGAACUCAUGUAUAGCUCAUGAAAUUGGAGCUCUUUGCAUGGGUUCCGGUUGGCGCUGAAGGGGAGCAGGGCUCUCAUGGCUUUAACAGCUGAGUAGCAGGCAGAUGUUAAACAGAGAAAGCCUUUUCUAGUCUGCAACUAAAAUUAUGGGGAAAGCUUCACGAGUUUGAUAUUGCAUUUGUCAGGCAUCUUGUUACUUGUGUGUGACCUCAGAGUGAUCUUUGGGCUCUCAUCCCCACUCCAUCUGCAAAAGAGGGUGCACAUUUGCUCAUGACGUGAAGGGCAAGUACAUUUGUGCCAUCAUCUGUGAGUGCAGCAGAGGGUGUGAGCCACAUCCAGUGGACCGGGCCCAGAACAUCCUCUUGGCAGUUGGGCACCCCGGUUACCCCAGGAAAAGGCAUAGGAGUGGUGGGAGGCCAGGCUUGAGGGAGGAAUCCCAAGCAAGUGGGUAGUGGAGGAGACCAGCAGCAGGCCAGAAGCAGACAGCCUGUGAGGCUGAAUCCCAGGAAGCAGGAAGCAGCUCUGCCAGAAGGGGCUUAGAGUUUGGAGGAGGUUGUGAGGAGAAGCAGACCCUGAUCCUGGCUCCCUCAUGUCUAAUGUAAGGGGGGGAAAGGAAGCACACUGCUCAUCCUGCCUGAUCCAAGGGCCAGGAGGAGCUGCGGGUGAGAAUUGUCAAGUGUAGCCCGUGCAUGCAGCAAUUCUCACGUGGGGCCCUUGGAGGGGCAGCAGAAGAGUCCUAACAUCAUGCAUGCUCUGGGCCCCAUAAACCCCCUGGCUGGCUCUGCAAACCUGACUGUGCAUUUUUUCUAGGGCUGGCCUUGCAUACUUUUUUUAUCAGUAACACAUAUUCCAUUUAGGUGUUUGGAACAGUUUCUGUUUUUAUUGAAAUGCAUAUUUCUGGUUUAAUAAUGUAACGUCCGUUUAGAUUUUACAAAUGGACAGUUUGAUUUCCUGUUUAUUUUACUGACAUGUUUGUUUCCAGUUCAAUAACUGGCAUUAAUACUUAUUUCAGUCUAUUUAAGAAAAGACAUCAUCUUUGCAAGACAUCAGGUUUCCCGGUUGAUUUCCUUUCUGCAUUCCCAGUUCUAUCUCUUCUUUCUAAAGUCAUCCUAGACUUUUGGCAAAUGAUGCCACUUCUGGAAGAUAAAAGGGUGCUCUGAAAAAGCCAUUUGGCUCAUAAGCGACUGUCACGUGACCUCUAGGAAAACAUACCUGUGAAACAUUAGGUUAGUCUUUCCAAUUGUGAGAAAGAUUUGAAUCCUGAGGGAUACACGCUUCAGGAUCAAGGAGCUGCGGCCAUAACAAGAAAAUCAGUUCCAUCAAAAUAUAAUAUUUAUUAGCAACGUUCCAAUGUGUUCCGUGACAUGCUGACCCAUUGUGUGCAGGAGACGAGAUGAAAUCCCUGGCAACUUUGACACUAUACAGCCCUGAGAAGGACUCCCCUUUUGUGAGAAGCUCAGGUUUGAUUUCUGUAUUAUGCAAAAGGAGGGUGUGAUGGAGGGGUGCCAGUGGCUGGACCCCCUCCCUCAUCUCAGGAACCAAUUCCCCACCCAGGGCAACUGACUCAGGCAAAAUAUCUUUCUUUGCCAAGAUUGUGCCCGCUCACAACAGCCCUGCAGGGUAGGAGAUUGCCACCACCCAUUAUACUGGUUAACCACCCUCAGCCAAAGGGAAACUUUGAGCCCAGAAAACUUGCCAAUAAUUACAAGCAGCAAGAGCCAAACAGACAGUCCUUGCUCUGAAGCCUUUAGCCAAAAUACCCAAUUCACACAGUAGACGUGGUCAGUGGCCAAGGUACUGGCUCAGAGCCAACCCUCUCCUGCAUGAACACACACUGGUAAAUAGAAAUAACUUUAUUGAAGAAGAGGUGCACAGUUACAGCAGCAAAAUAGUUCCUUAAUAUCAACACUCAGAAGGGGCAAGGUAAAACACAGGGAGUUCAGUCAUAACAGAAAAGCAAGAAAGCCAUCUAGCCUAGUCUGUCCUUACACACAGGUAGACAGUUGCGCAGCCCCCUCUCCUCAGAGAGAGGAACAGUCAGGAGAGUUGAUGCAAAAGGGAACCUCAGCAGGCACCAUCAGAUAGGCAUGAUGGGCCCAGGAGAGGAAUGCAAGCUAAGGUUGGAGCCCCAUAGUUAUUUAUUUAUUUAUUUAUUUAUAGCCCGCCUUUCCUUCCAGGAGGAGCCCAGGGCGCCAAACAGAAACACGAAAAACACUUUAAAACAUCAUAAAAAGACCUUAAAAUACAUUAAAACAAAACAGUGUUAAAAACAUUUUUUUUAAAAAAAACAUUAUUAAAAACGCAGACUGGGAUAGGUCUCAACCUAAAAGGCUUGUUGAAAGAGGAAAAUCUUCAAAAGGCACCGAAAAGAUAGCAGAGAUGGCGCCUGCCUAAUAUUCAAGGGGAGGCAAUUCCACAGGGUAGGUGCCCCCACACUAAAGGUCCGCUUCCUAUAUUGUGCAGAAUGGACCUCCUGAUAAGACGGUAUCUGCAGGAGGCCAUCAUCUGCAGAGUGCACUGAUCGACUGGGUAUAUCAGGGGUAAGAUGGUCUUUCAGGUAUCCUGGUCCCAAGCUGUGUAGGGCUUUGAACACCAAGACUAGACUUUGAACUUGGCCUAGUAGCAAAUGCGCAGCCAGUGCAAUUCUUUCAGCAGCAGCAGGGGCGACAUGUCGGGGAUAUCCUGCCCCACUGAGCAGUCUUGCUGCUGCGUUUUGCACCAGCUGCAGCUUCCGGACCAACCUCAAGAGCCUGAUGCUGAACUGCCUAGUCCUUUCCCCAGAGCUUGGAAGUAACUAGUUAGAAGUAACGAAUUACUUGUAAUUUAUUACUUUAUUUGAGUAACGAGUGGGUAACUUCAUUACAUUUUGCUGGUAAUAGAACAAGUAGUGACUUCAUUACUUUUGAGGCAUAAUUGUAAUGUUUCCAGCAUUACUUUUGGGCAUUACUUGGGAUUCUUCUGCUCCUCUGAUUUGUGAAUAAAAAUCAUGGGCUUCAAAUUGGGCUUCUGUGCAGCGUCGCUCUUCCUUCAUGCUCUUUUGGUGCUUAGGAGGCAACAAGGGAGGGGGUGGAGAGCGAGACGGGGUGGAGAAAACAAUUGUUUAAAAAUUGACAGGAAUGGAAGGAGAAGAGAGCUGGAGGCAAUAUAUAUAUAUACAAAAAAUAUGUGUG